rnacentral:rRNA from 1 species
UACGAAGGGGGCUAGCGUUGCUCGGAAUCACUGGGCGUAAAGCGCACGUAGGCGGAUUGCUAAGUCAGGGGUGAAAUCCUGGAGCUCAACUCCAGAACUGCCUUUGAUACUGGCGACCUUGAGUCCGGGAGAGGUGAGUGGAACUGCGAGUGUAGAGGUGAAAUUCGUAGAUAUUCGCAAGAACACCAGUGGCGAAGGCGGCUCACUGGCCCGGUACUGACGCUGAGGUGCGAAAGCGUGGGAGCAAACGGGG